CCUACGGGAGGCUGCAGUGGGGAAUAUUGGACAAUGGGGGGAACCCUGAUCCAGCGACGCCGCGUGAGUGAAGAAGUAUUUCGGUAUGUAAAGCUCUAUCAGCAGGGAAGAAAGAAAUGACGGUACCUGACUAAGAAGCCCCGGCUAACUACGUGCCAGCAGCCGCGGUAAUACGUAGGGGGCAAGCGUUAUCCGGAUUUACUGGGGGUAAAGGGAGCGUAGACGGCGAUGCAAGUCUGAAGUGAAAGGCGGGGGCCCAACCUCCGGACUGCUUUGGAAACUGUAUGGCUGGAGUGCAGGGGAGGUAAGUGGAAUUCCUAGUGUAGCGGUGAAAUGCGUAGAUAUUAGGAGGAACACCAGUGGCGAAGGCGGCUUACUGGACUGUAACUGACGUUGAGGCUCGAAAGCGUGGGGAGCAAACAGGAUUAGAUACCCCGGUAGUC
rnacentral:rRNA from 1 species